AUUGAACGCUGGCGGAAUGCUUUACACAUGCAAGUCGAACGGCAGCACGGACUUCGGUCUGGUGGCGAGUGGCGAACGGGUGAGUAAUAUAUCGGAACGUGCCCAGUCGUGGGGGAUAACGUAGCGAAAGCUACGCUAAUACCGCAUACGAUCUACGGAUGAAAGCGGGGGAUCGCAAGACCUCGCGCGAUUGGAGCGGCCGAUAUCAGAUUAUGUAGUUGGUGAGGCAAAGGCUCACCAAGCCGACGAUCUGUAGCUGGUCUGAGAGGACGACCAGCCACACUGGGACUGAGACACGGCCCAGACUCCUACGGGAGGCAGCAGUGGGGAAUUUUGGACAAUGGACGCAAGUCUGAUCCAGCCAUUCCGCGUGCAGGACGCAGGCCUUCGGGUUGUAAACUGCUUUUGUACAGAACGAAAAGGUCUCUAUUAAUACUAGGGGCUCAUGACGGUACUGUAAGAAUAAGCACCGGCUAACUACGUGCCAGCCGCCGCGGUAACAC
rnacentral:rRNA from 1 species